rnacentral:tRNA from 1 species
GGUGUGGUGGCUGAGUGGUAAAGCGCUUGACUUCUGAACUUGAGGUCCUGGGUUCGAAUCUCGGUCAAGACU